rnacentral:rRNA from 1 species
UACGUAGGGUGCAAGCGUUAAUCGGAAUUACUGGGCGUAAAGCGUGCGCAGGCGGUCUUGCAAGACAGAUGUGAAAUCCCCGGGCUCAACCUGGGAACUGCAUUUGUGACUGCAAGGCUGGAGUGCGGCAGAGGGGGAUGGAAUUCCGCGUGUAGCAGUGAAGUGCGUAGAUAUGCGGAGGAACACCGAUGGCGAAGGCAAUCCCCUGGGCCUGCACUGACGCUCAUGCACGAAAGCGUGGGGAGCAAACAGG